ACCGACACAGGUGAUCAGGUAGAGAAUACUAAGGCGAUCGAGAGAAUCAUGGUUAAGGAACUCGGCAAAAUGCCCCCGUAACUUCGGGAGAAGGGGGACCGCAUACUGUGACCAUCCUUUGCGGUUGGUAGCGGUGUGUGGUCGCAGAGAAUAGAGGGAAGCGACUGUUUAUCAAAAACACAGGUCCAUGCGAAGACGUUGAAGUUGAUGUAUAUGGACUGACGCCUGCCCGGUGCUGGAAGGUUAAGAGGACCGGUUAGUCAACUUUGUUGGCGAAGCUGAGAAUUUAAGCCCCAGUAAACGGCGGUGGUAACUAUAACCAUCCUAAGGUAGCGAAAUUCCUUGUCGGGUAAGUUCCGACCUGCACGAAUGGCGUAACGAUGGCCACACUGUCUCCUCCUGAGACUCAGCGAAGUUGAAAUGUUUGUGAUGAUGCAAUCUCCCCGCGGAAAGACGGAAAGACCCCAUGAACCUUUACUGUAGCUUUGUAUUGGACUUUGAACAGAUCUGUGUAGGAUAGGUGGGAGGCUUUGAAGUGAGGACGCUAGUUCUCAUGGAGCCAACGUUGAAAUACCACCCUGGUGUGUUUGAGGUUCUAACCUAGGUCCAUUAUCUGGAUCGGGGACAGUGCAUGGUAGGCAGUUUGACUGGGGCGGUCUCCUCCCAAAGAGUAACGGAGGAGUGCGAAGGUAACCUCAGCGCGGUCGGAAAUCGCGCAGUGAGUGCAUAGGCAUAAGGUUGCUUGACUGCAAGACAAACAAGUCGAGCAGGUACGAAAGUAGGUCUAAGUGAUCCGGUGGUUCUGUAUGGAAGGGCCAUCGCUCAACGGAUAAAAGGUACUCCGGGGAUAACAGGCUGAUUCC
rnacentral:rRNA from 1 species